rnacentral:rRNA from 1 species
GAUGAACGCUGGCGGCGUGCCUAACACAUGCAAGUCGAGCGAUUCUCUUCGGAGAAGAGCGGCGGACGGGUGAGUAACGCGUGGGUAACCUGCCCUGUACACACGGAUAACAUACCGAAAGGUAUGCUAAUACGAGAUAAUAUACUUUUAUCGCAUGGUAGAAGUAUCAAAGCUUUUGCGGUACAGGAUGGACCCGCGUCUGAUUAGCUAGUUGGUAAGGUAACGGCUUACCAAGGCGACGAUCAGUAGCCGACCUGAGAGGGUGAUCGGCCACAUUGGAACUGAGACACGGUCCAGACUCCUACGGGAGGCAGCAGUGGGGAAUAUUGCACAAUGGGCGAAAGCCUGAUGCAGCAACGCCGCGUGAGCGAUGAAGGCCUUCGGGUCGUAAAGCUCUGUCCUCAAGGAAGAUAAUGACGGUACUUGAGGAGGAAGCCCCGGCUAACUACGUGCCAGCCGCCGCGGUAAUAC